GGGUUGUGAGGUUAAGCGAACAAGCGUACACGGUGGAUGCCCUGGCAGUCAGAGGCGAUGAAGGACGUGCUAAUCUGCGAAAAGCGCCGGUAAGGUGAUAUGAACCGUUAUAACCGGCGAUGUCCGAAUGGGGAAACCCGGUGCACUUCGGUGCAUCAUCGUUAGCUGAAUACAUAGGCUAACGAGGCGAACCGGGGGAACUGAAACAUCUAAGUACCCCGAGGAAAAGAAAUCAACCGAGAUUCCCCCAGUAGCGGCGAGCGAACGGGGAACAGCCCAGAGCCUGAAUCAGCUUGUGUGUCAGUGGAACGGUCUGGAAAGGCCGGCGAUACAGGGUGACAGCCCCGUACACGAAGGCACACAGGCUGUGAGCUCGAUGAGUAGGGCGGGACACGUGAUAUCCUGUCUGAAGAUGGGGGGACCAUCCUCCAAGGCUAAAUACUCCUGACUGACCGAUAGUGAACCAGUACCGUGAGGGAAAGGCGAAAAGAACCCCGGCGAGGGGAGUGAAACAGAACCUGAAACCGUGUACGUACAAGCAGUGGGAGCCUUCGUAAGAGGGUGACUGCGUACCUUUUGUAUAAUGGGUCAGCGACUUAUAUUCUGUAGCAAGGUUAACCGUAUAGGGGAGCCGAAGGGAAACCGAGUCUUAACCGGGCGUUAAGUUGCAGGGUAUAGACCCGAAACCCGGUGAUCUAGCCAUGGGCAGGUUGAAGGUUGGGUAACACUAACUGGAGGACCGAACCGACUAAUGUUGAAAAAUUAGCGGAUGACCUGUGGCUGGGGGUGAAAGGCCAAUCAAACCGGGAGAUAGCUGGUUCUCCCCGAAAGCUAUUUAGGUAGCGCCUCGUGAACUCAUCUCCGGGGGUAGAGCACUGUUUCGGCUAGGGGGCCAUCCCGGCUUACCAACCCGAUGCAAACUGCGAAUACCGGAGAAUGUUAUCACGGGAGACACACGGCGGGUGCUAACGUCCGUCGUGAAGAGGGAAACAACCCAGACCGCCAGCUAAGGUCCCAAAGUCAUGGUUAAGUGGGAAACGAUGUGGGAAGGCCCAGACAGCCAGGAUGUUGGCUUAGAAGCAGCCAUCAUUUAAAGAAAGCGUAAUAGCUCACUGGUCGAGUCGGCCUGCGCGGAAGAUGUAACGGGGCUAAACCAUGCACCGAAGCUGCGGCAGCGACACGUAUGUGUUGUUGGGUAGGGGAGCGUUCUGUAAGCCUGUGAAGGUGUGCUGUGAGGCAUGCUGGAGGUAUCAGAAGUGCGAAUGCUGACAUAAGUAACGAUAAAGCGGGUGAAAAGCCCGCUCGCCGGAAGACCAAGGGUUCCUGUCCAACGUUAAUCGGGGCAGGGUGAGUCGACCCCUAAGGCGAGGCCGAAAGGCGUAGUCGAUGGGAAACAGGUUAAUAUUCCUGUACUUGGUGUUACUGCGAAGGGGGGACGGAGAAGGCUAUGUCGGCCGGGCGACGGUUGUCCCGGUUUAAGCGUGUAGGCUGACUUUCCAGGCAAAUCCGGAAGGUUAAGGCUGAGGCGUGAUGACGAGGCACCACGGUGCUGAAGUGACAAAUGCCCUGCUUCCAGGAAAAGCCUCUAAGCAUCAGGUAACAUCAAAUCGUACCCCAAACCGACACAGGUGGUCAGGUAGAGAAUACCAAGGCGCUUGAGAGAACUCGGGUGAAGGAACUAGGCAAAAUGGUGCCGUAACUUCGGGAGAAGGCACGCUGACAUGUAGGUGAAGCCCCUGCGGGUGGAGCUGAAGUCAGUCGAAGAUACCAGCUGGCUGCAACUGUUUAUUAAAAACACAGCACUGUGCAAACACGAAAGUGGACGUAUACGGUGUGACGCCUGCCCGGUGCCGGAAGGUUAAUUGAUGGGGUUAUCGCAAGAGAAGCUCCUGAUCGAAGCCCCGGUAAACGGCGGCCGUAACUAUAACGGUCCUAAGGUAGCGAAAUUCCUUGUCGGGUAAGUUCCGACCUGCACGAAUGGCGUAAUGAUGGCCAGGCUGUCUCCACCCGAGACUCAGUGAAAUUGAACUCGCUGUGAAGAUGCAGUGUACCCGCGGCAAGACGGAAAGACCCCGUGAACCUUUACUACAGCUUGACACUGAACAUUGAGCCUUGAUGUGUAGGAUAGGUGGGAGGCUUUGAAGCGUGGACGCCAGUCUGCGUGGAGCCGACCUUGAAAUACCACCCUUUAAUGUUUGAUGUUCUAACCUGGCGCCGUGAUCCGGCGUGGGGACAGUGUCUGGUGGGUAGUUUGACUGGGGCGGUCUCCUCCCAAAGUGUAACGGAGGAGCACGAAGGUCAGCUAAUCCUGGUCGGACAUCAGGAGGUUAGUGCAAUGGCAUAAGCUGGCUUGACUGCGAGAGUGACGGCUCGAGCAGGUGCGAAAGCAGGUCAUAGUGAUCCGGUGGUUCUGUAUGGAAGGGCCAUCGCUCAACGGAUAAAAGGUACUCCGGGGAUAACAGGCUGAUACCGCCCAAGAGUUCAUAUCGACGGCGGUGUUUGGCACCUCGAUGUCGGCUCAUCACAUCCUGGGGCUGAAGUAGGUCCCAAGGGUAUGGCUGUUCGCCAUUUAAAGUGGUACGCGAGCUGGGUUUAGAACGUCGUGAGACAGUUCGGUCCCUAUCUGCCGUGGGCGCUGGAGAAUUGAGGGGGGCUGCUCCCAGUACGAGAGGACCGGAGUGGACGCAUCACUGGUGUUCGGGUUGUCAUGCCAAUGGCACUGCCCGGUAGCUAAAUGCGGAAGAGAUAAGUGCUGAAAGCAUCUAAGCACGAAACUUGCCCCGAGAUGAGUUCUCCCUGAGACU
rnacentral:rRNA from 1 species